rnacentral:rRNA from 1 species
UACGUAGAGGGCAAGCGUUGUCCGGAUUUAUUGGGCGUAAAGCGCGCGUAGGCGGCGCGGCAUGUCGUGCGUGAAAUCUCCCGGCUUAACUGGGAGGGGCCGUGCGAAACUGCCGGGCUUGAGGUCGGAAGGGGAAAGUGGAAUUCCGGGUGUAGUGGUGGAAUACGUAGAUAUCCGGAGGAACACCAGCGGCGAAGGCGGCUUUCUGGUCCGAUACUGACGCUGAGGUGCGAAAGCGUGGGGAGCGAUCCGG